rnacentral:misc_RNA from 1 species
GAUGAAGAACGUAGCGAAAUGCGAUAAGUAAUGUGAAUUGCAGAAUUCAGUGAAUCAUCGAAUCUUUGAACGCACCUUGCACCCUUUGGUAUUCCGAAGGGUAUGCUCGUUUGAGUGUCAUUGUACUCUCACACUUCUAAUUCCUUUCGGGAUUGGGAGCGGUGGACUUGGGUGUUGCUGCUUUAGUUGUGGCUCACCUCAAAUAAGUUAGUGCAACUCUUGGUUGGACAUAGUACGGCGUGAUAAGUGUCUUCGCCGGCGCCUCUGUAAGGAGGGUGGCCGAUCGGGAGCUCUGUGCUUCAAACCGUCUUCGGACAAUCUUUGACAACUUGACCUCAAAUCGAGUAGGACUACCCGCUGAACUUAAGCAUAUCAAUACGCGGAGGA